AUGUAUCUCUGACAGCCCUGGAGCACUUAAUGUCUGCUGCUAAGGUUUCCAAUGUAGAUGCAAGAAAAAGAAGUCCUUGCGCUUUCUGUCUGUCUGGUUCUGGCAGCCAAGAUUGAAUGGGGGGAUACAGGA
ensembl:snoRNA